AUGGUGCGAGGCCUGCCAUGCCUCGACCAUGUGGAGCAGUUCUGCGACAUCUGCGUACUGACAAAGCAGAGACGACUCCCCUUUCCCCAACAGGCGAGUUUUCGGGCUAAGGAGAAGCUGGAGCUCGUGCACGGAGACCUGUGCGGCCCGGUGACGCCAGCCACACCAGGAGGUCGACGCUACUUCCUGCUGCUCGUCGACGAUCUCUCCCGCUACAUGUGGGUGAUGAUCCUCGGCAGUAAGGGAGAAGCGGCGGACGCCAUCAGGCGCGCGCAGGUUGGUGUGGAGGCGGAGAGCGGCCGCAAAUUGCGCGUGUUGCGCACUGACAACGGCGGCGAGUUCACGGCGGUUGAAUUCGCGUCGUACUGCGCCGAUGAGGGCAUCCAGCGCCACUACUCCGCGCCGUACAGCCCGCAGCAAAACGGCGUCGUUGAGCGGCGCAACCAGACGGUUGUGGGGAUGGCUCGGGCUCUCCUCAAGCAGAGAGGGAUGCCGGCUGUCUUCUGGGGAGAGGCGGUGCUAACGGCCGUCUACAUCCUCAACCGCUCUCCUACUAAGGCACUCGACGGCAGAACUCCGUAUGAGGCCUGGCAUGGGCGGAAGCCGGCGGUCUCUCAUUUGCGGGUCUUUGGCUGCCUUGCGUUCGCCAAGGAGCUCGGCCACAUUGGCAAGCUCGACGACAGGAGCACUCCGGGAGUCUUCAUCGGCUACGCGGAGGGCUCAAAGGCCUACCGCAUCCUCGACCCAAAGACACAACGUGCGGUGGACGACGGCUCGACGCCGACGUAUGACGACUUCAUUGUCGAGUACGCUCACUUCAAGGAAGCUGGGGGAGCAAGCAGCUCCUCUUCACCGGGCACGUCUACCCCGGCCCCCAAAACUACAUCGACUCCGGCGCCUGCUACACCGACGACACCACAACCGGCGACGCCGCAUACUCCAGCCCCGGCGGUCGCCACUCCGGGCUCGUCUUCAUCAGCACCAGCUCACGCAGAGCACAACCCGAUGAAGUUCGCUUCCCCGCUCACUCACGACGAGGAGCGGGUCGACGCAUGGUAUGGAGGCGAACCGCUGCGGUACCGUACGAUGGAUAAUGUGCUCGGCGACCAGCCGGUGCCAGGACUGGUGCCACGUGACCUGGAGGCGCAGCUAAAGCUCGUGUGUGAAGACGGCGAACCACGGUCCUUUGCAGAGGCCGAGAGAGACGCGGCAUGGCGCGCCGCGAUGAAGUUGGAGAUGGAUGCGGUCGAGCAAAACCGCACCUGGGAGCUUGCUGAUCUCCCUCGAGGUCACCGCGCAAUCACCCUUAAGUGGGUGUUCAAGCUGAAGAGGGAUGGAGCCGGCGCCAUCAUCAAGCACAAGGCUCGUUUGGUGGCCCGAGGCUUCUUGCAGCAGGAAGGAGUCGACUUCGACGACGCUUUCGCUCCCGUGGCACGGAUGGAGUCCGUGCGACUUCUCCUUGCGCUGGCUGCCCAGGAGGGCUGGCGUGUCCACCACAUGGACGUUAAGUCGGCAUUCCUCAACGGCGACUUGAAGGAGGAAGUCUACGUGCAUCAGCCACCGGGGUUUACGAUUCCCGGCCAGGAGGGCAAGGUGCUCCGCCUGCGCAAGGCUCUCUAUGGCCUGCGGCAGGCACCCAGGGCGUGGAACGCCAAGCUGGACUCCACGCUGAAGAAGAUGGGUUUCGAGCAGAGCCCGCAUGAGGCUGCCGUCUACCGACGGGGGAGUGGAGGAAAUGCCCUGCUGGUGGGCGUCUAUGUUGACGACCUGGUGAUCACCGGCACCAAAGAUGCAGAGGUGGCGGCGUUCAAGGAAGACAUGAAGGCCACGUUCCAGAUGAGUGACCUGGGGCUCCUCUCCUUCUAUCUAGGGAUUGAGGUGCACCAGGACCACUCCGGGAUCGCGCUUCGACAGUCCGCCUACGCCAAGCGCAUCGUUGAGCUAGUUGGGCUCACCGACUGCCAUCCAGCUCUCACUCCGAUGGAGGAGAGGCUGAAACUAAGUCGCGACAGCACGACGGAGGAAGUGGAUGCUACGCAGUACCGACGCCUUGUGGGGAGCCUUCGCUACCUCACUCACACACGGCCGGACUUGGCAUUCUCCGUCGCCUAUGUCAGUCGGUUCAUGGAGCGACCAACGUCGGAACACCAGCAGGCAGUGAAGAGGAUCGUCCGCUACAUAGCAGGGACCCUCGACCACGGCCUCCAUUACCCUAGGUGCCCUGGGGCGGCACACUUCGUCGGGUACAGCGACAGCGACCACGCCGGCGACAUCGACACCAGCAAGAGCACGAGCGGGAUCCUCCUCUUCCUCGGCAAGUGUCUCGUGAGCUGGCAAUCAGUCAAGCAGCAGGUGGUGGCCCUGUCCAGCUGUGAGGCUGAGUACAUAGCGGCCUCCACCGCCUGUACUCAGGCGCUCUGGCUUGCUCGACUGCUUGGUGAUCUUCUCGUUCAAGACACCAGAACGGUGCAGCUCCUGGUGGACAGCAAGUCCGCCCUGGCCCUGGCAAAGAACCCCGUGUUCCACGAACGGAGCAAGCACAUCCGACUGAGGUAUCACUUCAUCUGCAGCUGUGUGGAAGAAGGGAGCAUCGAGGCGAGCUACAUCAACACCAAGGAUCAGCUCGCAGACCUGCUCACCAAGCCCCUUGGGAGGGUCAAGUUCCUCGAACUUUGCUCCAGGAUUGGGAUGAUUCAACUCUCCCACAAGACGACGUACAAGACUUAG
rnacentral:rRNA from 1 species